AUCCUCAGGUUGAAACACAUUGGACUCUGCUUUCAGCUGAGAUCAUUGUAGCUUUUAUUCUCAGCUUCUUGAUGCCUAGAAUUCACAUUAAUGGCCCAAUCAGAUCUUCCAAAAACAGCAAAAAAGGUCAAGUUUUACUCUGAAAACUAAACUGUCUCCUACAUGCCAUACAUUUACAGGUUCUUUCUCUCUUCCUUUCCCUCUCUCCUUCCCUUUUUCUCUGCUCAGAGCUGCACGGACCACAGCCUUCCCCUGUACGACCCUGGCGGUCGUCCCGCUUUGAUCACUUAUCUGCCCCAAACAAGUUAAAUUGCUGCAUCAUCAACCGAGCCUUAAAAACAUCUGAGACAGUAUAAUUAGUAAUUUCGGCAUUAAUAACGCAACGAGGGACAAGCAGUGGUGCCCUUUAAUCUUCAGUUCUUCAGAGGGUUGUUUUAUGUCCCUUCUCCUUCUCCACCUCCUACCUUCUUCUUUACUUCUACUGACCCAUGAUAGACUGCAGCCCACGGUCUUCUACCCGACCAGACUUGAAGCCUCAGAGAAAGGUGCAUCAAAGGAUACGAUAAUGAACUCUGAGGAUCAACGGAGGAGUUAAAGUGACUCAGUGGUGUGUGCAGAGUUGGUGGUCUGGCCUGAUUGGCUUAUCCAGCAGAAAUUGCACAUUUUGGACUGUUUAGCAUGAGUAAGUGAGCUCCAAGUGCGAAAGGAACCAGAGUUACACCAUGUAAACAAGCAUACGCAACCGUAAACAUGCAAACCAACCACAUGUAUAACUGUUCUGCUUGGAUUUUGUUCAUAGUAGCAUCCUGAAACCCUAAAUUUAACUUAGAUAUAUCAUCAAAAGGAUGCAGAUGUUGUUACGCGAGGACACCGUCAUACCAACUGAUCUUUUUAGGAAGAUGCCAUAUAGACGUUAUGGUGCAGUUCUGCUGAGAGAUCAACACAGCAGAGGAAUUCCAGUUAUCGGUUGCAGUGAAGGUCAAACUCUUUAUCGUUGACUUCACGACCUUGGCCGCAAUCACGGUCAUUACCACAACUGCUCUCAGCUGUAUACAUGGCCUUGAUGAGGACUUAAAAGAAAGUUUUCUACUUUGUCUCCAUAGUCGACAAAAAUCAGGGUCUUUAUUCUUCAAGCAGAGCUGAAAUGAAAAAUGCCAUUUUAACCCUUUCAGAUCACCUACACUGCAAUACUGUGCAUCGUCUUCAACAUGUAAUGGAGUGGCACAUUUCAUGUCAUGUUUCUGGGGGCCAGGUUUACUGAUCACUGUACAAAAGCACACAUUUAUAACUUUAUUCACUGAUUUGGUUGAAACUGGAUUGCAUUUUAUGGUAACAAUGUUUUCUGGUUUUCCCUCUAAUCUCCUCUGGCUGCUCUGCGUGAACCCCUCGCUGAUUUACAGAGCUUCCUGAUUGACAGAUGGCUUUACUUGUUGCUGCAGUAGUCGCUGCAACAUCGGCUACUGUAGCAACAAGGAAAACCAUCUUCCGCUUCAGCUCGCUUUCAAGACGUUAGAUGUUUGGUCUCCAAGCUUUUAAGCAUUUACAACUGCAGCUGCAAGUGGGAUCCUUUGCCACGGAAACCUAAUAACAAUCAGUUGUCCGCAGUAAGUAGCGCAAUAAGUACUGUCAGCUCUAACAUACGGUUGUUUUAUGAUCCUUCAUGGUCCUGGUUUUUUGUGCGUAUCUUUAGCUGUUUCCAGUGUUCCUGCCUUCAUCCCCAGGCUUUUUUCCCUCCACACCUGCACUGCAUCACCUUAAUUAGCCUUGUUAGCACUGCUCUGUUCUGUGUCUCUCCACCUGCACCUUACACACUCAUUACUUUAGUGUGUAUUUAAGCCGGUAUUGGUCCUUUGUUGAUUCCUACUUCUGUCCAUCCGUCUCUUGUGCCUGUUUGUCCUUAGUGUUUUAUGUUACUUCGACAUUUUCCUUUGCCUGCCCUCAGUAUUAACCCUCACUUUUUGUUCCUGGACCUUUCUGCCUAUGUGUGUCUUGUGUUUGGGAUUUUUGCAGCCUCCUUAAAACCCUGGUGAAAUUUGGCUGCAUCAAAAUCUCCACCUUGGACCUGGACUUAAGUUGUACCCACCGUGAUGUGUGACUGGAGACCACAACUCCUGUUUCAUGCCCCUGCCACCGCUUGAACCUGCACAUGCUGCUCCCUUCUCAGUCAGUCGCGCUCAGAGGUCAUUGACCUCUGGUAUUAAAUAAUAAUAGAGGGACACUCCUCUCUUCCCUUUUUGAUGUGACAGACUGAGGUGAUCAGGUGCAGAUUAAGUGGAGAAUCAGUGAUGAGGACAGAUUUGAACAUGUCAGAUGGGGAGUGCCAGGGCUUCAGUGCUACCACGGUGUUCAAACCUGCCCCAUGCUGAAGGCGGGUGUGUGAGUGCACAUGUACUGUAUAUGUACAUGUACACACAUAUACAAUCUUUUACAAGAAUGUUUCCCUGCAGACCUCCCAGGGGAUGGGACCUGAGCCACGAGCAGGCGAAAACUUCUACGCCCACAGUCUGUGUUUGGAUAAGGCCUGUCAUUAUUGAUAGUCAUUAAUAGCUACACAAAAGUUGCUAAAUAUGACAAGGUAAUUUUUUUCUUCUCUCUUGGCCUUCGAUACACCAAAUCCACUUCAUAUCCAGAUCUGAACGUGACAGCUUGUGUUGGACUGUACGAGGGGAAACAAAGAUUUUCUGAAAAUGAGGAUAUAAUGGCUUCAUGAAGUGGGUGUUGUGUAGCACAAAUGUUAAGAAACAAACUUUGUGUGGGCCCCAACUGUGAUCACUUUAAAACCCAUUCCAGUUGAAGGGGCUAUUACAUACCA